rnacentral:rRNA from 1 species
UACGGAGGGGGCUAGCGUUGUUCGGAAUUACUGGGCGUAAAGCGCGCGUAGGCGGACUCUUAAGUCGGUGGUGAAAUCCUGGAGCUCAACUCCAGAACUGCCUUCGAUACUGAGAGUCUCGAGUCCGGGAGAGGUGAGUGGAACUGCGAGUGUAGAGGUGAAAUUCGUAGAUAUUCGCAAGAACACCAGUGGCGAAGGCGGCUCACUGGCCCGGUACUGACGCUGAGGUGCGAAAGCGUGGGGAGCAAACAGG